UUUUAUGAGAGUUUGAUCCUGGCUCAGGACGAACGCUGGCGGCGUGCCUAAUACAUGCAAGUCGAACGCUUCUUUUUCCACCGGAGCUUGCUCCACCGGAAAAAGAGGAGUGGCGAACGGGUGAGUAACACGUGGGUAACCUGCCCAUCAGAAGGGGAUAACACUUGGAAACAGGUGCUAAUACCGUAUAACAAUCGAAACCGCAUGGUUUUGAUUUGAAAGGCGCUUUCGGGUGUCGCUGAUGGAUGGACCCGCGGUGCAUUAGCUAGUUGGUGAGGUAACGGCUCACCAAGGCCACGAUGCAUAGCCGACCUGAGAGGGUGAUCGGCCACAUUGGGACUGAGACACGGCCCAAACUCCUACGGGAGGCAGCAGUAGGGAAUCUUCGGCAAUGGACGAAAGUCUGACCGAGCAACGCCGCGUGAGUGAAGAAGGUUUUCGGAUCGUAAAACUCUGUUGUUAGAGAAGAACAAGGAUGAGAGUAACUGUUCAUCCCUUGACGGUAUCUAACCAGAAAGCCACGGCUAACUACGUGCCAGCAGCCGCGGUAAUACGUAGGUGGCAAGCGUUGUCCGGAUUUAUUGGGCGUAAAGCGAGCGCAGGCGGUUUCUUAAGUCUGAUGUGAAAGCCCCCGGCUCAACCGGGGAGGGUCAUUGGAAACUGGGAGACUUGAGUGCAGAAGAGGAGAGUGGAAUUCCAUGUGUAGCGGUGAAAUGCGUAGAUAUAUGGAGGAACACCAGUGGCGAAGGCGGCUCUCUGGUCUGUAACUGACGCUGAGGCUCGAAAGCGUGGGGAGC
rnacentral:rRNA from 1 species